UAAAGAAUUUCGGUAUGGGAUGGGGAUGCGUUCCAUUAGUUAGUUGGCGGGGUAACGGCCCACCAAGACAACGAUGGAUAGGGGUUCUGAGAGGAAGGUCCCCCACAUUGGAACUGAGACACGGUCCAAACUCCUACGGGAGGCAGCAGUGAGGAAUAUUGGUCAAUGGACGAGAGUCUGAACCAGCCAAGUAGCGUGAAGGAUGACUGCCCUAUGGGUUGUAAACUUCUUUUAUAUGGGAAUAAAAUGUUCCACGUGUGGGAUUUUGUAUGUACCAUAUGAAUAAGGAUCGGCUAACUCCGUGCCAGCAGCCGCGGUAAUACGGAGGAUCCGAGCGUUAUCCGGAUUUAUUGGGUUUAAAGGGAGCGUAGGUGGAUUGUUAAGUCAGUUGUGAAAGUUUGCGGCUCAACCGUAAAAUUGCAGUUGAAACUGGCAGUCUUGAGUACAGUAGAGGUGGGCGGAAUUCGUGGUGUAGCGGUGAAAUGCUUAGAUAUCACGAAGAACUCCGACUGCGAAGGCAGCUCACUGGACUGCAACUGACACUGAGGCUCGAAAGUGUGGGUAUCAAACAGGAUUAGAUACCCUGGUAGUCCACACAGUAAACGAUGAAUACUCGCUGUUUGCGAUAUACAGUAA
rnacentral:rRNA from 1 species